rnacentral:rRNA from 1 species
UACGUAGGGGGCAAGCGUUGUCCGGAUUUAUUGGGCGUAAAGAGCGUGUAGGCGGUUUGGUAGGUCCGCUGUGAAAACUCGAGGCUCAACCUCGAGACGCCGGUGGAAACCAUCAGGCUAGAGUCCGGAAGAGGAGAGUGGAAUUCCUGGUGUAGCGGUGAAAUGCGCAGAUAUCAGGAAGAACACCAACGGCGAAGGCAGCUCGCUGGGACGGAACUGACGCUGAGGCGCGAAAGCGUGGGGAGCGAACAGG